rnacentral:lncRNA from 1 species
AGGAACUUGGGCCCUAAUUGGUGAAUACAGGGGUGUAGGCCCGAAUUCAGGAUGAUAGGAUAACCACACAAAAAAACGGUUGGGCCUGGUGAGUCUCCUCCUUCUUCUGCACUAUUUCGCUUCUCCUUCGUCUCUUCUGUUCUUUCUUUUCUUCUGAGUUUGUCGUUGCGUGAGUCGAUUCGGUAUGAACCAAUGCUCUGUGUGAAUCAAUGUGUGCGGAUGAGGCCUGGCUCAAGCACAAUUGGAGCUUCGAUAUGAAGCUCCAUGGGCUUCCUAAUAGAGCUUUGUGUGAGGGUUUCGAGGGAGUUAUGAGAAUGAGGGAGAUGAGUGAAUCUCGAAAAUUCUAGAAAUGGUGAAAAUGCAACGUAACCGUUAAUGAUUGAAGAGUGAUUGGUAUUUAUAGAGUUCUGGUUUGCAAAUUCAGUUAGAAAUGCAAAUCCAAAUUCCUAUGAAAUUCACAUUGAGUUGGUUAGAAAUGUAGAAAAUCUGUUAGAGUGGUUGUGAUUCUCUGUGGUGAAUUCCUGUAAGUUUAUUGUGGUCUCCAAUUGUGUUCUGCUAAAGUGAAAUUUGCAGGGUUAUCCGUUCUGCUGAAUUUUUCUGCUAUGUGUUAUGCAGGUGGAAAUAUUAGGUAGGAAGGAGCUUGAUUUAAUCUGCAGGGUUAGCUAGAUGUUAGCAUUAUCAUGUUAUGUGUAAUUGGUUACUGGAUUGUUAGUGAUAUUGAUAGUUAGGUUAGCUACAAAAUCAGUUAUUUGCAUUGUUAGUGAAGUGUUUAGUUAAGGUUUAGUUAGCAGGAAAAUCAAUAUGUUAAAACAGUUAGUGAUAAAAAAGUAGAAGGUUAUUGAAUGAGCUAGUAUAAAACAGUUAGAAUGGAAAUUGGAUUUUUUACUAGCAAUGCUAAAACAGUUAGGAUGCAUUUCCUAAUAAUAAUC